rnacentral:lncRNA from 1 species
UUCCAGGUACAGCCGAAGCCGUUCCUCCGGCGUCGGUCUGCGAAAGUCGAAGCGCGGAAAGUCGACUGGUCAUACGUAAAGCCACGAACAAACAGCAGGUAUGAUGUAAUUAAGGCGUCGGGGCUAGUGCAGGAGUGCUUGAUUGGAAUGUAUUGCCGCGAGCUAGUCAGGUUCUUGGGUAUUGGAGCAACUGGUGCUCACAUGAUUGCAGGAACCCGGACUAUUACGGCGAUCAGAAUAGUCCUGAUGCCGUAUUAAAGGCGCGCGCGAGUCCGCUGGCAUCUCCCGGGGGUGGGGUUACCAAGCCGCCUUUAAACAUAAACGUGGGCGCACGCGCAAAGCAGCCCGGGGUCAAGCUGCCACUGACCCCAACUGAAGGGGAGCGAACUCCGC